rnacentral:rRNA from 1 species
GAUAACCUUAGGAAAAGGCAUAUCAUCAAACCUCUAGAUUGUGUGUUCUGCUCUGAAACUGAAUCUUUCCAUCACUUGUUUUUUGAUUGUGUAGUAGCUAGAUAUGUGUGGGCAAUUUUUAGGGAGCACUUCAACAUAAACUUGGGGUCUGAUUACAUGUCCAUUGCCAAGUUUUGGCUCUCUAACAAUAAAAAAUCUGCCCUUAAUGUAGCAUGUGCAACUGUUGUGUGGUGUUUGUGGAAAAUUAGAAAUUCCAUUAUAUUUAACAAUACCACAUGUACUCCUGGUGAACAGGUUAUUGGCAAGAUUCAUAGGCUGGUCAAGAUUUGGGCGAUCUUGUCGACAAAUCAAGGGAAGAAAAGUCUGGAGGACUUUGCAACCUUCCUGGAGGUGAAAAUGAGGACUCCAUUGGCCAUCAGAAGUGGCUGA